rnacentral:rRNA from 1 species
GAUGAACGCUGGCGGCGUGCCUAAUACAUGCAAGUCGAGCGAACGGGCGAGAAGCUUGCUUCUCUGAUGUUAGCGGCGGACGGGUGAGUAACACGUGGAUAACCUACCUAUAAGACUGGGAUAACUUCGGGAAACCGGAGCUAAUACCGGAUAAUAUUUUGAACCGCAUGGUUAAAAAGUGAAAGCCGGUCUUGCUGUUACUUCUAGAUGGAUCCGCGCUGCAUUAGCUAGUUGUUAAGGUAACGGCCUACCAAGGCAACGAUGCAUAGCCGACCUGAGAGGGUGAUCGGCCACACUGGAACGGAGACACGGUCCAGACUCCUACGGGAGGCAGCAGUAGGGAAUCUUCCGCAAUGGGCGAAAGCCUGACGGAGCAACGCCGCGUGAGUGAUGAAGGUCUUCGGAUCGGAAAACUCUGUUAUUAGGGAAGAACAUAUGUGUAAGUAACUGUGCACAUCUUGACGGUACCUAAUCAGAAAGCCACGGCUAACUACGUG